rnacentral:rRNA from 1 species
GACGAACGCUGGCGGCGUGCUUAACACAUGCAAGUCGAACGGAAAGGCCCUGCUUUUGUGGGGUGCUCGAGUGGCGAACGGGUGAGUAACACGUGAGUAACCUGCCCUUGACUUUGGGAUAACUUCAGGAAACUGGGGCUAAUACCGGAUAGGAGCUCCUGCUGCAUGGUGGGGGUUGGAAAGUUUCGGCGGUUGGGGAUGGACUCGCGGCUUAUCAGCUUGUUGGUGGGGUAGUGGCUUACCAAGGCUUUGACGGGUAGCCGGCCUGAGAGGGUGACCGGCCACAUUGGGACUGAGAUACGGCCCAGACUCCUACGGGAGGCAGCAGUGGGGAAUAUUGCACAAUGGGCGGAAGCAUGAUGCAGCAACGCCGCGUGCGGGAUGACGGCCUUCGGGUUGUAAACCGCUUUCGCCUGUGACGAAGCGUGAGUGACGGUAAUGGGUAAAGAAGCACCGGCUAACUACGUGCCAGCAGCCGCGGUGAUACGUAGGGUGCGAGCGUUGUCCGGAUUUAUUGGGCGUAAAGGGCUCGUAGGUGGUUGAUCGCGUCGGAAGUGUAAUCUUGGGGCUUAACCCUGAGCGUGCUUUCGAUACGGGUUGACUUGAGGAAGGUAGGGGAGAAUGGAAUUCCUGGUGGAGCGGUGGAAUGCGCAGAUAUCAGGAGGAACACCAGUGGCGAAGGCGGUUCUCUGGGCCUUUCCUGACGCUGAGGAGCGAAAGCGUGGGGAGCGAACAGGCUUAGAUACCCUGGUAGUCCACGCUGUAAACGGUGGGUACUAGGUGUGGGGUCCAUUCCACGGGUUCCGUGCCGUAGCUAACGCUUUAAGUACCCCGCCUGGGGAGUACGGCCGCAAGGCUAAAACUCAAAGGAAUUGACGGGGCCCCGCACAAGCGGCGGAGCAUGCGGAUUAAUUCGAUGCAACGCGUAGAACCUUACCUGGGUUUGACAUGGAUCGGGAGUGCUCAGAGAUGGGUGUGCCUCUUUUGGGGUCGGUUCACAGGUGGUGCAUGGCUGUCGUCAGCUCGUGUCGUGAGAUGUUGGGUUAAGUCCCGCAACGAGCGCAACCCUUGUUCACUGUUGCCAGCACGUUAUGGUGGGGACUCAGUGGAGACCGCCGGGGUCAACUCGGAGGAAGGUGGGGAUGACGUCAAGUCAUCAUGCCCCUUAUGUCCAGGGCUUCACGCAUGCUACAAUGGCUGGUACAGAGAGUGGCGAGCCUGUGAGGGUGAGCGAAUCUCGGAAAGCCGGUCUCAGUUCGGAUUGGGGUCUGCAACUCGACCUCAUGAAGUCGGAGUCGCUAGUAAUCGCAGAUCAGCAACGCUGCGGUGAAUACGUUCCCGGG